rnacentral:rRNA from 1 species
GACGAACGCUGGCGGCGUGCCUAAUACAUGCAAGUAGAACGCUGAAGUCUGGUGCUUGCACUAGACGGAUGAGUUGCGAACGGGUGAGUAACGCGUAGGUAACCUGCCUCAUAGCGGGGGAUAACUAUUGGAAACGAUAGCUAAUACCGCAUAACAGUAUUUACCGCAUGGUAGAUAUUUGAAAGGAGCAAUUGCUUCACUAUGAGAUGGACCUGCGUUGUAUUAGCUAGUUGGUGAGGUAACGGCUCACCAAGGCUUCGAUACAUAGCCGACCUGAGAGGGUGAUCGGCCACACUGGGACUGAGACACGGCCCAGACUCCUACGGGAGGCAGCAGUAGGGAAUCUUCGGCAAUGGGGGCAACCCUGACCGAGCAACGCCGCGUGAGUGAAGAAGGUUUUCGGAUCGUAAAGCUCUGUUGUAAGAGAAGAACUGUGAGAAGAGUGGAAAGUUUCUCACUUGACGGUAUCUUACCAGAAAGGGACGGCUAACUACGUGCCAGCAGCCGCGGUAAUACGUAGGUCCCGAGCGUUGUCCGGAUUUAUUGGGCGUAAAGCGAGCGCAGGCGGUUUGAUAAGUCUGAAGUAAAAGGCUGUGGCUUAACCAUAGUACGCUUUGGAAACUGUCAAACUUGAGUGCAGAAGGGGAGAGUGGAAUUCCAUGUGUAGCGGUGAAAUGCGUAGAUAUAUGGAGGAACACCGGUGGCGAAAGCGGCUCUCUGGUCUGUAACUGACGCUGAGGCUCGAAAGCGUGGGGAGCGAACAGGAUUAGAUACCCUGGUAGUCCACGCCGUAAACGAUGAGUGCUAGGUGUUGGGUCCUUUCCGGGACUCAGUGCCGCAGCUAACGCAUUAAGCACUCCGCCUGGGGAGUACGACCGCAAGGUUGAAACUCAAAGGAAUUGACGGGGGCCCGCACAAGCGGUGGAGCAUGUGGUUUAAUUCGAAGCAACGCGAAGAACCUUACCAGGUCUUGACAUCCCGAUGACCGCCCUAGAGAUAGGGUUUCUCUUCGGAGCAUCGGUGACAGGUGGUGCAUGGUUGUCGUCAGCUCGUGUCGUGAGAUGUUGGGUUAAGUCCCGCAACGAGCGCAACCCCUAUUGUUAGUUGCCAUCAUUCAGUUGGGCACUCUAGCGAGACUGCCGGUAAUAAACCGGAGGAAGGUGGGGAUGACGUCAAAUCAUCAUGCCCCUUAUGACCUGGGCUACACACGUGCUACAAUGGCUGGUACAACGAGUCGCAAGUCGGUGACGGCAAGCUAAUCUCUUAAAGCCAGUCUCAGUUCGGAUUGUAGGCUGCAACUCGCCUACAUGAAGUCGGAAUCGCUAGUAAUCGCGGAUCAGCACGCCGCGGUGAAUACGUUCCCGGGCCUUGUACACACCGCCCGUCACACCACGAGAGUUUGUAACACCCGAAGUCGGUGAGGUAACCUUUUAGGAGCCAGCCGCCUAAGGUGGGAUAGAUGAUUGGGGUGAAGUCGUAACAAGGUAGCCGUAUCGGAAGGUGCGGCUGGAUCACCUCCUUUCU